rnacentral:rRNA from 1 species
AACGAACGCUGGCGGCAGGCCUAACACAUGCAAGUCGAGCGGACCCUUCGGGGUUAGCGGCGGACGGGUGAGUAACGCGUGGGAAUAUGCCCUUCUCUACGGAAUAGUCCUGGGAAACUGGGGGUAAUACCGUAUACGCCCUUUGGGGGAAAGAUUUAUCGGGGAAGGAUUAGCCCGCGUUGGAUUAGGUAGUUGGUGGGGUAAUGGCCUACCAAGCCGACGAUCCAUAGCUGGUUUGAGAGGAUGAUCAGCCACACUGGGACUGAGACACGGCCCAGACUCCUACGGGAGGCAGCAGUGGGGAAUCAUAGACAAUGGGGGCAACCCUGAUCUAGCCAUGCCGCGUGAGUGAUGAAGGCCUUAGGGUUGUAAAGCUCUUUCAGCUGGGAAGAUAAUGACGGUACCAGCAGAAGAAGCCCCGGCUAACUCCGUG